GCAGCACGGGAGCAAUCCUGGUGGCGAGUGGCGAACGGGUGAGUAAUAUAUCGGAACGUGCCCAGUCGUGGGGGAUAACGCAGCGAAAGCUGUGCUAAUACCGCAUACGAUCUAUGGAUGAAAGCGGGGGACUCGCAAGGGCCUCGCGCGAUUGGAGCGGCCGAUAUCAGAUUAGCUAGUUGGCGGGGUAAAAGCCCACCAAGGCGGCGAUCUGUAGCUGGUCUGAGAGGACGACCAGCCACACUGGAACUGAGACACGGUCCAGACUCCUACGGGAGGCAGCAGUGGGGAAUUUUGGACAAUGGGCGAAAGCCUGAUCCAGCAAUGCCGCGUGCAGGACGAAGGCCUUCGGGUUGUAAACUGCUUUUGUACGGAACGAAACGGUCUCCUCUAAUACGGGGGGCUAAUGACGGUACCGUAAGAAUAAGCACCGGCUAACUACGUGCCAGCAGCCGCGGUAAUACGUAGGGUGCGAGCGUUAAUCGGAAUUACUGGGCGUAAAACGACGGCCAGAAUCACGAAUUCU
rnacentral:rRNA from 1 species